rnacentral:rRNA from 1 species
UACAGAGGUCUCAAGCGUUGUUCGGAUUCAUUGGGCGUAAAGGGUGCGUAGGUGGCGCGCUAAGUCAGGUGUGAAAUCUCGGGGCUUAACUCCGAAACUGCAUUUGAUACUGGCGUGCUUGAGGACUGGAGAGGAGACUGGAAUUCAUGGUGUAGCAGUGAAAUGCGUAGAGAUCAUGAGGAAGACCAGUGGCGAAGGCGGGUCUCUGGACAGUUCCUGACACUGAGGCACGAAGGCCAGGGAGCAAACGGG